GCCGAAGUGGUGGAAUGGCAGACGCGUCGGACUCAAAAUCCGAUGUUGGUGACAACGUGUGGGUUCGAGUCCCACCUUCGGCACCA
rnacentral:tRNA from 1 species